CCUACUCAGCCUCUAGAACACACUUCUGCUGGCCCCGCUGCCCAGCGAUGGCAGGGUGUGCGGCACACAGGGGCACCACGCCAGGCCCUGGUGUGCCCAGGCCUGCCCAGGCCACCGCCCUCAGGGGCGCCUGCAGAUCCCCUGCUGCACUUCCUCAUCGCCCCUCCUGCUUCCCAGACUCAGAAGCUGCCGUGAGGCACACGUCCUUGGAGCCCUGCAGACCGCCCCGCCUCGCCGGCUACGCUGGGCCUCUCGUGUGCUGAGCACUGCCUGCCCAAGCAGACCCCUGGCUCUCCAGACGCUCUUGAUGUUCAGGAUCAGCAGUGAGACGUGACCGGGCGCAGGAACCACACAGCUCACCAGAGAGCCUGCUAAGUCACACCCAGAGAGCCAUGGUAACUCAUGCUUCCAGGGCACAAGCCGGGGUCAGCGAGGAUCAGCACGGCUGGAACCCGAGUGACGACACCAACCUGGACAGACACAGGCCACCUGUGCUGGCAAGCGAACUCCACACAUUGUUCCCAGCAACCGAAUCUCACCAUAAGGAAGCUGGUGAAGACACUGACCCCCAGCCAUGACCUCCCCUGAACACGCAGGAGCAACGGGAGUGGCCACCCUGGCUUCAGCUCUACACCGUCUGUUUUUUCUUCUAAUUGUUCAAUGACACCUUCUGCAUACUUCCUCAUUCUUAAGGGCGCAGGGGCUCAGCUCCUGAACAACUGGGGUCUCCCCCUCUACAUCAGGUAGGGUGGGUGUUCCAAAAUGCUCAUGGCUUUAAGACACUCUGAUCAGCCAUGACGAAGCCAUUCCCAUAAAAGUGAACUGUCAGAGCUGGCGCUGUGGUGCCAGUUCGUGUUCCAGCUGCUCCCCUUCUGGUCCAGCUCUCUGCUGUGGCCUGGGAGAGCAGUGGGAGACGCCCCAGUGCUUGGCGCCUGCACCCACGUGGGAGACCCGGAAGAAGCUCCUGGCUCCUAACUUUGGACCAGCCCAACCCCGCCUGUUGUGGCCAUAUGGGGAGUGAAUCAGCAGACAAAAGAUCUCUCUCUCUGUCUCUCUCUGUCUCUAUCUCUCCCCCUCUCUCUCUGUAACUCUGCCUUUCAAAUAAAUAAAUAACUCAUAAAUAAAA